UACGUAGGGACCAAGCGUUGUUCGGAUUCACUGGGCGUAAAGGGUGCGUAGGCGGUCGGGUACGUCUGAUGUUAAAUCUCACAGCUUAACUGUGAAACUGCAUUGGAUACUAUCCGGCUCGAGGAAUGGAGGGGAGACUGGAAUACUUGGUGUAGCAGUGAAAUGCGUAGAUAUCAAGUGGAACACCAGUGGCGAAGGCGAGUCUCUAGACAUUUCCUGACGCUGAGGCACGAAAGCCAGGGGAGCAAACGGG
rnacentral:rRNA from 1 species